rnacentral:rRNA from 1 species
AUUGAACGCUGGCGGCAGGCUUAACACAUGCAAGUAGAGCGAGCGGCGGACGGGUGAGUAAUGUCUGGGAAACUGCCUGAUGGAGGGGGAUAACUACUGGAAAAGGUAGCUAAUACCGCAUACAAUCAGAUGUGCCCAGAUGGGAUUAGCUAGUAGGUGGGGUAAUGGCUCACCUAGGCGACGAUCCCUAGCUGGUCUGAGAGAAUGACCAUGCACACUGGAACUGAGACACGGUCCAGACGCCUACGAGAGGCAGCCGUGGGGAAUAUUGCACAAGGGGCGCAAGCCUAGUGAAGCCAUGCCGCGUGUGUGAAGAAGGCCUUCGGGUUGUAAAGCACUUUCAGCGAGGAGGCGUUACUCGCAGAAGAAGCACCGGCUAACUCCGUGCCAGCAGCCGCGGUAAUUC